UGCAGUCGACGGCAGCACGGGUGCUUGCACCUGGUGGCGAGUGGCGAACGGGUGAGUAAUACAUCGGAACAUGUCCUGUAGUGGGGGAUAGCCCGGCGAAAGCCGGAUUAAUACCGCAUACGAUCUACGGAUGAAAGCGGGGGACCUUCGGGCCUCGCGCUAUAGGGUUGGCCGAUGGCUGAUUAGCUAGUUGGUGGGGUAAAGGCCUACCAAGGCGACGAUCAGUAGCUGGUCUGAGAGGACGACCAGCCACACUGGGACUGAGACACGGCCCAGACUCCUACGGGAGGCAGCAGUGGGGAAUUUUGGACAAUGGGCGAAAGCCUGAUCCAGCAAUGCCGCGUGUGUGAAGAAGGCCUUCGGGUUGUAAAGCACUUUUGUCCGGAAAGAAAUCCUUGGCUCUAAUACAGCCGGGGGAUGACGGUACCGGAAGAAUAAGCACCGGCUAACUACGUGCCAGCAGCCGCGGUAAUACGUAGGGUGCAAGCGUUAAUCGGAAUUACUGGGCGUAAAGCGUGCGCAGGCGGUUUGCUAAGACCGAUGUGAAAUCCCCGGGCUCAACCUGGGAACUGCAUUGGUGACU
rnacentral:rRNA from 1 species